UACGGAGGGUGCAAGCGUUAUCCGGAUUUACUGGGUUUAAAGGGUGUGUAGGCGGGCUUUUAAGUCUGGGGUGAAAUCUCCGAGCUCAACUCGGAAACUGCCUUGGAUACUAUUAGUCUUGAAUUAUGUUGAGGUUGGCGGAAUAUAACAUGUAGCGGUGAAAUGCAUAGAUAUGUUAUAGAACACCGAUUGCGAAGGCAGCUAACUAAGCAUAUAUUGACGCUGAGGCACGAAAGCGUGGGGAUCAAACAGG
rnacentral:rRNA from 1 species